rnacentral:siRNA from 1 species
UGACCGAGAGAUGACUCCUGA